CGCCGGUGACAAACCGGAGGAAGGUGGGGAUGACGUCAAGUCCUCAUGGCCCUUAUAGGUGGGGCUACACACGUCAUACAAUGGCCGGUACAGAGGGUAGCCAACCCGCGAGGGGGAGCCAAUCCCACAAAGCCGGUCGUAGUCCGGAUCGCAGUCUGCAACUCGACUGCGUGAAGUCGGAAUCGCUAGUAAUCGCGGAUCAGCAUGUCGCGGUGAAUACGUUCCCGGGUCUU
rnacentral:rRNA from 1 species